ensembl:lincRNA
GACCACCCUGGACUGCUGCUGUGGAAGCAGUAACCCCUCCAGCGGGCAGAGAUGUUGCUCACACCAGUGCACAGCUUCUACAACCUAUUGGACAACCUUGCCAAGCUCCAGAAGGACUGUCCCUGGUUACUCCAGCUGAAAAAGAAAGCACCCAGUGGGGUACACAGUUUAGGAAAUGAGUGUUUGAAGUCAAAGACAAAGAUUCUUAUGGGAUCCAUAGAAGAUUCUAAGCUGGCUUCUUUUUGAAAAAAAUACAAGUUUUGCAUGGAAUGUUUAAGCCUACAGAGUCACCAAAUGUAGAAGGCCUGUGAUUCUGAAUUACUAUUUAAAGGGAAACCGUAUGUCAAUCAAGAACACUGAAUCUUAUUCAAAGCAAGCAUAAACUAUGGUGUAUGACAUUGUAUUUUGUUUUUGAUACAUCUGACCCCCAUCUGGCCCCCCUCAGGAAGAGACUGCAGAGAGCCUAAGGUCCUUGAGCUCCGAGAACAAUCACAGCCCAUUCCUGCAUCCUGCAGUCCCCAGUCUAAGCCUGGGAACAACGCCUACCCUGGCUUGAUAUGUCCACCGUCACACACCAGGUACUUCUUUUGGCUGUGUCUGGAGAUCACUGUAAGAGAGGUGGUGCCUGGAGUAAAUAUUUGGAAACUGAUAGGAAAACUGACACCUGAUCAUCUCACUUCUUCCCCUGAAAUCCUGCUGUGGCCUCUCUUUACCCUCUGUGGAAAGUCUGCAGGAACCGCUGCAACCCACUGGCCUCUGGUUCUUUCCCCACUGAAGUCUUCACAAUCUUGCUCUGUAUCUAAACAUCCAGAGGACACCAAACCUGGACUACUUCUCCGGACCCUCCUCCUUGAGCCACAGAGUCCCUGCAGCUGCCUCUGUGACAUCCAGAAUGCUGCCUGUCACACAGCUUGCACACCCCACUCGUGGUUGCUGACUGGACAGUCCAAGGCCCUUUCUGCAUGAGUCAGGGGGAAGAUGUCUACCUUGUCAUCACUCUUUCCUAGCUUCAAACAUAGUCAGCACUGAAUAAACAACACCCUGAACUGUUAAGCCUGUGAAGAGCUGGGAUGCUGAGGCCAACAGAAAUUGAGGCAGGACAACCCUUACCCACCCACUCCACUGUGUCUUUACUCAGCAGUUAUAGGAGAGAUCGCCCGAACAAAACUAAGCCACAAUGAACAGAAGACAUGGAAUUACCUUCAUUUCAUUUAAUGCAUGAAGUGACUGUAGUUAAGUAGUAAACAGUUUAGAUUUCAUGGACCAGGACAAACAAGGACAGAACUUCUGAACUCACAAAUUUUUAACUUCCUCUUUUAUCAACUGCAACAGAGGAGUCUGGCAGAUGCAGUCUGAGCUCAGACUGCAAGUUUUAUUUACUCAGUUAAUUAUUUAACAAGUAUUGCUGACAGCCUGCUACAGACCAGUCAUUGUUAUAGAGAGACUCAAAAUACUAGAACUGGCAGAAUCCCACUCCCUAGAAAUCAGACUCUUGAAGGAGGGCUUUGAGGAUGGAAAAAGAGAGGGGAAAUAAAGAAUGUAGUGAUUUCAAGUAUGAGUAUGUACUAUUAAUACCUGGCCAAGAGGCUGGUAGGUAAUAGAGGGUGGUAAAUGGGAAGAGAAAGACUAGUAUUUUAGAAUGGUCUAACAGAAAAGCUCCUCUGAGAAAAGGACCUUUAAGUGCAAAGUGAGUACAUACAAAGG